rnacentral:rRNA from 1 species
AUUGAACGCUGGCGGCAUGCCUUACACAUGCAAGUCGAACGGCAGCACGGGAGCUUGCUCCUGGUGGCGAGUGGCGAACGGGUGAGUAAUACAUCGGAACGUACCCUGAAGUGGGGGAUAACGUAGCGAAAGUUACGCUAAUACCGCAUAUUCUGUGAGCAGGAAAGAGGGGGAUCGCAAGACCUCUUGCUUUAGGAGCGGCCGAUGUCGGAUUAGCUAGUUGGUGAGGUAAAGGCUCACCAAGGCGACGAUCCGUAGCGGGUCUGAGAGGAUGAUCCGCCACACUGGGACUGAGACACGGCCCAGACUCCUACGGGAGGCAGCAGUGGGGAAUAUUGCACAAUGGGCGAAAGCCUGAUGCAGCGACGCCGCGUGAGGGAUGACGGCCUC